rnacentral:rRNA from 1 species
AUUGAACGCUGGCGGCAUGCCUUACACAUGCAAGUCGAACGGUAACAGGUCUUCGGAUGCUGACGAGUGGCGAACGGGUGAGUAAUACAUCGGAACGUGCCUAGUAGUGGGGGAUAACUACUCGAAAGAGUGGCUAAUACCGCAUGAGAUCUACGGAUGAAAGCAGGGGAUCGCAAGACCUUGUGCUACUAGAGCGGCCGAUGGCAGAUUAGGUAGUUGGUGGGAUAAAAGCUUACCAAGCCGACGAUCUGUAGCUUGUCUGAGAGGACGAUCAGCCACACUGGGACUGAGACACGGCCCAGACUCCUACGGGAGGCAGCAGUGGGGAAUUUUGGACAAUGGGCGCAAGCCUGAUCCAGCAAUGCCGCGUGCAGGAUGAAGGCCUUCGGGUUGUAAACUGCUUUUGUACGGAACGAAAAGCCCCGGGUUAAUACCCUGGGGUCAUGACGGUACCGUAAGAAUAAGCACUGGCUAACUACGUGCCAGCAGCCGCCGCAG